rnacentral:rRNA from 1 species
GGGUUGUGAGGUUAAGCGACUAAGCGUACACGGUGGAUGCCCUGGCAGUCAGAGGCGAUGAAGGACGUGCUAAUCUGCGAUAAGCGUCGGUGAGGUGAUAUGAACCGUUAUAACCGGCGAUUUCCGAAUGGGGAAACCCAGUGUGUUUCGACACACUAUCAUUAACUGAAUCCAUAGGUUAAUGAGGCGAACCGGGGGAACUGAAACAUCUAAGUACCCCGAGGAAAAGAAAUCAACCGAGAUUCCCCCAGUAGCGGCGAGCGAACGGGGAGGAGCCCAGAGCCUGAAUCAGUGUGUGUGUUAGUGGAAGCGUCUGGAAAGGCGCGCGAUACAGGGUGACAGCCCCGUACACAAAAAUGCACAUACUGUGAGCUCGAUGAGUAGGGCGGGACACGUGGUAUCCUGUCUGAAUAUGGGGGGACCAUCCUCCAAGGCUAAAUACUCCUGACUGACCGAUAGUGAACCAGUACCGUGAGGGAAAGGCGAAAAGAACCCCGGCGAGGGGAGUGAAAAAGAACCUGAAACCGUGUACGUACAAGCAGUGGGAGCCUCUUAAUGGGGUGACUGCGUACCUUUUGUAUAAUGGGUCAGCGACUUAUAUUCUGUAGCAAGGUUAACCGAAUAGGGGAGCCGAAGGGAAACCGAGUCUUAACUGGGCGUUAAGUUGCAGGGUAUAGACCCGAAACCCGGUGAUCUAGCCAUGGGCAGGUUGAAGGUUGGGUAACACUAACUGGAGGACCGAACCGACUAAUGUUGAAAAAUUAGCGGAUGACUUGUGGCUGGGGGUGAAAGGCCAAUCAAACCGGGAGAUAGCUGGUUCUCCCCGAAAGCUAUUUAGGUAGCGCCUCGUGAAUUCAUCUCCGGGGGUAGAGCACUGUUUCGGCAAGGGGGUCAUCCCGACUUACCAACCCGAUGCAAACUGCGAAUACCGGAGAAUGUUAUCACGGGAGACACACGGCGGGUGCUAACGUCCGUCGUGAAGAGGGAAACAACCCAGACCGCCAGCUAAGGUCCCAAAGUCAUGGUUAAGUGGGAAACGAUGUGGGAAGGCCCAGACAGCCAGGAUGUUGGCUUAGAAGCAGCCAUCAUUUAAAGAAAGCGUAAUAGCUCACUGGUCGAGUCGGCCUGCGCGGAAGAUGUAACGGGGCUAAACCAUGCACCGAAGCUGCGGCAGCGACACUAUGUGUUGUUGGGUAGGGGAGCGUUCUGUAAGCCUGUGAAGGUGGCCUGUGAGGGUUGCUGGAGGUAUCAGAAGUGCGAAUGCUGACAUAAGUAACGAUAAAGCGGGUGAAAAGCCCGCUCGCCGGAAGACCAAGGGUUCCUGUCCAACGUUAAUCGGGGCAGGGUGAGUCGACCCCUAAGGCGAGGCCGAAAGGCGUAGUCGAUGGGAAACAGGUUAAUAUUCCUGUACUUGGUGUUACUGCGAAGGGGGGACGGAGAAGGCUAUGUUGGCCGGGCGACGGUUGUCCCGGUUUAAGCGUGUAGGCUGGUUUUCCAGGCAAAUCCGGAAAAUCAAGGCUGAGGCGUGAUGACGAGGCACUACGGUGCUGAAGCAACAAAUGCCCUGCUUCCAGGAAAAGCCUCUAAGCAUCAGGUAACAUCAAAUCGUACCCCAAACCGACACAGGUGGUCAGGUAGAGAAUACCAAGGCGCUUGAGAGAACUCGGGUGAAGGAACUAGGCAAAAUGGUGCCGUAACUUCGGGAGAAGGCACGCUGAUAUGUAGGUGAAGCGACUUGCUCGUGGAGCUGAAAUCAGUCGAAGAUACCAGCUGGCUGCAACUGUUUAUUAAAAACACAGCACUGUGCAAACACGAAAGUGGACGUAUACGGUGUGACGCCUGCCCGGUGCCGGAAGGUUAAUUGAUGGGGUUAGCGGCAACGCGAAGCUCUUGAUCGAAGCCCCGGUAAACGGCGGCCGUAACUAUAACGGUCCUAAGGUAGCGAAAUUCCUUGUCGGGUAAGUUCCGACCUGCACGAAUGGCGUAAUGAUGGCCAGGCUGUCUCCACCCGAGACUCAGUGAAAUUGAACUCGCUGUGAAGAUGCAGUGUACCCGCGGCAAGACGGAAAGACCCCGUGAACCUUUACUAUAGCUUGACACUGAACAUUGAGCCUUGAUGUGUAGGAUAGGUGGGAGGCUUUGAAGUGUGGACGCCAGUCUGCAUGGAGCCGACCUUGAAAUACCACCCUUUAAUGUUUGAUGUUCUAACGUGGGCCCGUAAUCCGGGUUGCGGACAGUGUCUGGUGGGUAGUUUGACUGGGGCGGUCUCCUCCUAAAGAGUAACGGAGGAGCACGAAGGUUGGCUAAUCCUGGUCGGACAUCAGGAGGUUAGUGCAAUGGCAUAAGCCAGCUUGACUGCGAGCGUGACGGCGCGAGCAGGUGCGAAAGCAGGUCAUAGUGAUCCGGUGGUUCUGAAUGGAAGGGCCAUCGCUCAACGGAUAAAAGGUACUCCGGGGAUAACAGGCUGAUACCGCCCAAGAGUUCAUAUCGACGGCGGUGUUUGGCACCUCGAUGUCGGCUCAUCACAUCCUGGGGCUGAAGUAGGUCCCAAGGGUAUGGCUGUUCGCCAUUUAAAGUGGUACGCGAGCUGGGUUUAGAACGUCGUGAGACAGUUCGGUCCCUAUCUGCCGUGGGCGCUGGAGAACUGAGGGGGGCUGCUCCUAGUACGAGAGGACCGGAGUGGACGCAUCACUGGUGUUCGGGUUGUCAUGCCAAUGGCACUGCCCGGUAGCUAAAUGCGGAAGAGAUAAGUGCUGAAAGCAUCUAAGCACGAAACUUGCC